rnacentral:lncRNA from 1 species
CUUCAGUCUCCGCAAUUAAGUCGUACAGCAGGCAUGCCCCCUGUUGCAGCUGCGCUGUCAAUCUCAUUUUGAAGCACAAAUGAUCUUAGACCCAGUGUUUGACAUGGGGUUUUAACACCAAAGAAGGCAAUUCUGCAACUUCAAAUGAGCCUAAUUGGCUGAGCGCUCGGGCGUUCACUCAAGCUGCUUCAGUCCAUCAGAGAGAGAUUUCCCGCUAAUUGAACUGCUCAGAAGGAAAAGGACCACGAGGAAUCACGAGGAUGUUGACAUCUUUGAAGAGCCCAGGCCAUUGUCCAGUACAAUUUUCACAAUCUGGCUUUAUCUAAUCAUUUCCUCAUGAAUGGACUCAGAUUAAACAUUUUUGUCAAGAAGGUUACCUAGACCUCUUGCUCCUGCUUGCUUCUGCCAUCCAGCAUCUAUCUGCUAUCCUCUGCUCUCGGAGAGGCACAGCUGUGUGUGAGUCCCAUGGAGUCUUAACUAAGAUUGAAAUCUGAGGCUGAUGUUGGUGUUCUCAUGGGAACAAGAAUCCUGACUCUAUGUAUUGAUGUACGGUCAAGGGAGGUAGAGCAGUCUGCUCAAACCAGAACUAGACCUCAGCUGUUCUGCUUUUCAGCCCAUCUUCUUCUAACUAUAAUGCAGUGUUAAAUUGAGAAGGAUGAAGCUAAAGAAAAUUUUCAUUUGUUUUGCAUUUUUACCUCCAUGAAACUCGAGGUUUGUGGGGGCCUCUGAGCAGCAAGCUUCCGUCUUCUUUUGCGUUGAGGGUGUUAUUGUGGUACCCGCGGACCUAGUGGCACGAUGACUUCAAGAAGUUUUCCAAACAGCUUUGGUCUUCUUUCAAAGCUUGUGAUAAGAAAAACUCAGAUAUGCUUUUGUGGAGAGCGGUCCAAUGUCAACAAUUUAGAUCUGCUCUUAGAGUAUUCCUCCCGAGAUGUGGAUCCUAGUGUUCAGAGCUUUAAGAGGAGAGGAUGUAUAUGUGCUAUAUAUAUCACAUUGCCAUGGAAAGCGGUCUUCAGUCUGCACUUCAUGUGGGGGAGAAUUCAUCAGUUUUUUGUUUUGUUUUUUUUAACGUUUGAAGUGUUUAGCCUUGAAAAGAAUAAGCCUAAAAUUAUGUUCUAAAUAAAUAGUGCCUUUCUCCCUGAUGCAAAACCAAAUGCACUGUCAAACAAGCCAAUUAUUCAUGAGCUUCCCUCACACUUUCUUUCUAGGCCUCCUAUCUUUAAAUUUUGUACAUGGCACGGCCUCUACUACAAAGCAAAUAAUUUGGGUAGAGUAGACCCAAAUUGCACUGGCUGAUUGGCUCACAGGGAUUCUGCAAUGAGUUUAUUUGGGCCCCAAUCUUU